rnacentral:rRNA from 1 species
GUGGAUUAGAUACCCUGGUAGUCCACGCGGUAAACGAUGUUCACUAGGUGUUGGGGGUAUUGACCCCCUCAGUGCCGGAGCUAACGCAUUAAGUGAACCGCCUGGGGAGUACGGUCGCAAGACUAAAACUCAAAGGAAUUGACGGGGGCCCGCACAAGCGGUGGAGCAUGUGGUUUAAUUCGAUGCAACGCGAAGAACCUUACCUGGGCUUGACAUUUCAGGAAUCCCCUGGAAACAGGGGAGUGCCCGCAAGGGAGCCUGAGAACAGGUGCUGCACGGCCGUCGUCAACU